UCUGUCUCUCUGCAUAUGAAGACGGAACAGAGCUAAGGGAACUACCUUGUGGACACCAUUUCCACUGUUCAUGCGUAGACAAAUGGCUAUACA
rnacentral:sRNA from 1 species